UAGAAGCUUUAGUGACCAGAAGAA
rnacentral:piRNA from 1 species